rnacentral:rRNA from 1 species
CCCAUUUUCUUUAUACCCUAGUAUUCAUUUGGCUAUGUUUGAUUGGUUUUAGGUUGGGGUGACCACGGAGCAUAAAAUAACCUCCACGAANAAGAGACUAAUAAUCUUUAUCAAAGAAGUACACUUCUAAGAAUUAACAAAUUAAUUUCCAAUGAUCCGAUAUUCGAUCAACGAACCAAGUUACCCUGGGGAUAACAGCGCAAUCCACCUCAAGAGCUCCUAUCGACAGGUGGGUUUACGACCUCGAUGUUGGAUCAGGAUAUCCCAGUGGUGUAGCAGCUACAA